GUGGGUGUGGGUGUGUAUGUGUGUAGUCCAAACCUUAGAGAGUUGCUGGGGCGCUGAGAGGUGAUUUGCCUAGGGUCACACAGCCAGCUCCUAUCUGUGGACCUCACUCAGAUACCAGAACAGUAUUAGCCCAUCAGCUCUUGCUGGGGAGCUAGAGGAAGGCAGCAAAAACAUUGAGAAUCCCUGAGGGCUCAAGCCAAGCCACGUCAGCAGCUGCCAUGGGCAGCUGCAGCAGCCUGGAGAUGUCUCAUCAACAAGCCUGUUCUGUCUUGGGUAAAAGGCUCCUCGUGGCUCCAUGAACCCAAGCCUACGACUUGUCACGGAACUGUACUCAUCCCUGAGAGUGCUUUCUGAAGAAUGGAAGAUUAUGUCAGAUUCAGCAAAAUGCAUUCAGCAGCCAGUGGGUCUAUGUACAUAGAUGUUGGAUGGCAUCGUGGAAGGAAUUCUGGCUCUCAGUUAGAAGACUUGGGUUCAAAUUUUGGUAUUAUUGAUCCCUGAAUUCUCAAAGGUCUAGUGAGCUACCACGUAUGAACUUCAUAGCUACAAUCCUUGAUGAUCUCUAUGAGGAAAUGGAAAUGGCACUGAAGAAUACCAAGAUGGAAAGGGCAGCUGGACUAAAACAAGUAUACACAGAGAAGACCUGUGCUUGAAGUGAAAUAAUUUGAAGAUGAGGAAACCAAGGGUGAGAGAGGUUAGGGCGACUUCAAGUACAGCACUUCCUCCACUGUGCUGCCUGGCUGCUCUGAUACCAGCAAUUUUCUAAAGAUAACGUGACCCUCCAAAUGCUGGAUGAUAUUGUGCUAAUUGCAUCAAGUCCCACAAGACUGCAGAGCCUCAUAAAUGAGAUUUGUUUCCUUUUAAAGAGUUCAAUGGAAUCAUCCACAUAGGAAAAACCAAGUGGACAAAGAAUGCCUAUUGUCCAAGAAAUGAUAUGCAGACGUGUGGACAGAGACAAUAUAUCAAUACAUAUAUCUUGGAUAGCCUUUGAAAAUAAACAAUGGGCCCAGAGUUGAACAGGAAAAAGAGCAGGUUGGGUUCCUUUUGGGGACUAGCAUAGGGAUUUGAAUUACUCUAAAUGGCCCCUGUUGCAAAGCCCCAUCUUUUAAAAAUAUUAAUGUUCUUCUAGAGAUAUUGCAUGUCUUUGGGUCAUGGUGUUCUUUUUUUAAAAAUUUUAUUAAUUUAUUUUGAUUUAUCAAUAAUCACUUCCAUAUGCUUUUGAGUUUAAA